rnacentral:rRNA from 1 species
UACGAAGGUGGCUAGCGUUGUUCGGAUUUACUGGGCGUAACGCGCACGUAGGCGGAUAUUUAAGUCAGAGGUGAACUCCCAGGGCCCAACCCUGGAACUGCCUUUGAUACUGGAUAUCUCGAGUAUGGAAGAGGUGAGUGGAAUUCCGAGUGUAGAGGUAAAAUUCGUAGAUAUUCGGAGGAACACCAGUGGCGAAGGCGGCUCACUGGUCCAUUACUGACGCUGAGGUGCGAAAGCGUGGGGAGCAAACA